CGUCCUAGGGGGGCAGCAGUGGGGGAUAUUGCACAAUGGGCGAAAGCCUGAUGCAGCGACGCCGCGUGAGGGAAGACGGUCUUCGGAUUGUAAACCUCUGUCUUUGGGGAAGAAUAGAGACGGUACCCAAAGAGGAAGCUCCGGCUAACUACGUGCCAGCAGCCGCGGUAAUACGUAGGGAGCGAGCGUUGUCCGGAAUUACCGGGUGUAAAGGGAGCGUCGGCGGGCUUGUAAGUUGAAUGUCUAAUCCACCGGCUCAACCGGUGAUCGCGUUCAAAACUGCAGGUCUUGAGUGAAGUAGAGGC
rnacentral:rRNA from 1 species